rnacentral:ncRNA from 1 species
AAUGAAUUUCCGCCGGGAAAACGCUUAUUUUUGCUCCGUUAGGCCGUUGAAGGAGUAAAAAUAGGCGUUUAUUUUUU